rfam:Gossypium raimondii Chr08_contig_1317, whole genome shotgun sequence.
UGUUGAAAUUUCAUCUAUUUUUACUGUUAAAAAUUGACGUGGUUGAUAGAAUAACUAUAUAGUUAUACAUGAUGUACCAUGAGUACCUCAUUUUGACAUAUAGAGACCAAAUUUUAACAAUAGAAAAUAAUUUUUAACA